rnacentral:rRNA from 1 species
AAUGAACGCUGGCGGCGUGCCUAACACAUGCAAGUCGUGCGCGAACGGGACUUCGGUCCCUAGUAGAGCGGCGAACGGGUGAGUAACACGUGGGUAACCUGCCUGGGAGUGGGGGAUAACCUGGGGAAACUCGGGCUAAUACCGCAUACGUUCCCGGGGCUUCGGCUCCGGGAGGAAAGAUGGCCUCUGCUUGCAAGCUAUCUCUCCCAGAGGGGCCCGCGGCUGAUUAGCUAGUUGGUGGGGUAACGGCCCACCAAGGCGACGAUCAGUAGCCGGCCUGAGAGGGUGAUCGGCCACACUGGAACUGAGACACGGUCCAGACUCCUACGGGUGGCUG